rnacentral:lncRNA from 1 species
UCCGGCUUCGGUAUUGUUGGUAUUUCAGGCUUUGGCAGUUCUGGAAAUAGCGGUAAUUCGACUAUUGGCAGUGAUGGCAAUUCAAGCUUUUGCAAGUUUGGGAUGUCGGGAAGGUGAAGCAAUUCAGGCCUUAGUAGUUCAGGAUCCUCAAGCAACGCCGCCUCCAAAAUUCGGCAAGCUUUGAUGGAGUUCUCGCCAACCAUCAAUGACAGAGCAAGGACAAAUAAUGCCAAAAGAAGCAUGAGCCCACAGUAGUUCGCCAUCAUAGAACCGAUCUACUAGCAAAUUGAAAAACUUCGAGUGAAGAAGAGGUCGAUCUCAAGUGAGAAGGUGCAGAAGUGAUCGAGCAAUGGCUUGAUGGAGGGCUUUUAAAGAGGAGGGACGUGGGGAUCGGCGAGAUUGCAAGUAUGUUUUGGAGGGAAAAUAAUCGAAGUGUUCGUUCAACUUCCAAACCAAUCUCAUUUCUUUUGUUCAACAACAAGAUGGAGCAGAUAAUUCCAAAAAGGAUCUUUCUAUUAUUGGUUUUUUUUAAGCUUGUAACUACGAGUUGUGUUUGACUUCCUAGCUAGGCGGGAAAGACAAAGGAAAUGAUUUAUGAUCUCACUCUAUGUACAAGAGGACGAAGUCCAUGGCUUUGGUCAGCGAAGUCAAUAAUGUUAAGAGUAAAAUCUAAGUUUUUCCAGUGAUAAUUAUACAUGAAAUGUAUUCUUGAUCCAAAGAUUACUCAAGUGGUAGGCACAUUCCUUCUCUUUCUCUGAUAAUUUCGUAAACCUAUGUGUAUCUGGUAAUUUCUUGAUAUGCAUGGGACAAGGCAGCAACCACUGUUAAGGCUAUUAUUUUGGGCCUCAGUAGAGAAGCUUGUGGUCAAGUUGAGGGUAAGGCCACUACCUUUGGAGGGGCCAAAGAUGGAGUUGGUGACGUCCAAGUCGACUUUGGAGGAGAUGCUAAUCGCUUCUUCAGAAAUUGGGGGUUUAAGAUCCAUAAAAUUGCGAGGUCAGAAAGGAGAAGACUAAACUUUACGGGAGAUUGAAGAACUGCCAACUUCCAACAAAAUUGCUGAUCGAAUGGAAGGAUUCGAUUGGGUAAUCCAAGGACUCUGAGUUAAGAGCACCGAGGACAUCAAUCAAUUGGAUGGGGGAGAAUACCAUGGACCGGAGGCUCUCAAGGCGCAAUAGGUGGAGGAGAUGGCCGAGUGACCGGACGUGUCUUAGAUUUUAGAGAAGCCUUAUCCUUAAUGGAGGCAUGUGGUGAACGAAGAAUAGGUAUUCAUUAUUCUGGUCUUUAUGUGCAUUUACUUCUCUGUUUUCCUUUUCCCCUAAAAAAGAGCGGUCCUAGGGGCGGAAUCAAUUUGGGAGAAAUUAGUUUUUCUUUUCCUUAUUUGAUCUGGACUUGCAAUUGGAUGAAUAUUUGGUUAUUAUCCUUCUAAGUAAUUUGCUAAAAAUUACUACCUCUCAAUAUAUACACGCUGAUUCACAAUGAAAAAAAGAAGAAAAGAAUUUGCGAUAUUCUAUUCCUUUUGUGUGGAUCAUCCUUCUUAUCAGUAUCUAGAAAAGCAAUUGAUUUUUUUGACAUAUACUUUUUUUUUUUAUUAAUUCAAUUUCAAAUUUGUUAAGUGACAGCUAAAGUUAACUGUACCUAAAAAUUUGGCAGAGUUACAACGAGACAAAAGAGUUGCUGAGGGAUUUUUUCUUUAUAAGAAGUAGCAAAAUUGAUUUAGAGCUAAUGUUCUGAAAUUAUCUUUUGUGAUCCAUCUCGUCCUAUAACGUAAUAGCCAAGCUUGCAAGCUUUUUCAAAGAUUCGGGUAUUGGUGUCGCUGUAGGCUUAUAUAGGGGUUUUUUUUGUAAGAUUAACCUUACGGACAACAUUAUGUAACUAUAUUUGUACAAUAAAGAUAGAAAUUGACUUUUUCUCUUGAAAUAGAAAUUGUAACAUAAUAGACUGAGGCCCUGUUUGGUAACCGUCCAAACAGGGCCAAAUUCGGAUUCUUUGUUCCUGGAAUCAGUUUGGGCCUAGAAUCGCGUUUGGUAAAAUUUUUGUUCCCGGGAACAGAUUGGGAAUAGAAUCAAGAACAAAAAAAAAAAAAGUUGAUUCUUGUUCCAGGAACGAAUUUGAGAAUCAAAAUCAAGAACCCUCCUUCUUCCCUUCAGCCAUCUCCCGACCGCCGUCCACCACCGCCCGCCACCGUCCGCCGUCCGUCGACGCCGUCGGCUGCCGUCCGCCGGUCCGGCGAGCUCGCCAGAGGCAAGCCCAGCCAUUGGCGAGCUCGCCGGAGGCUUGCCCAGUCGCCAGCAACGCUCGGCCUCCCAGAUCUGGCGAGGCCGAGCCUCGCCGGGGCUGGGUAGGGGUUGGGCAAGCCUCGCGACGCCCAGCCCCGCCGGUGGCCUGGCAAGCCUCGCCUAGCCCCGGCGAGGCCGGCCUGGCCACCGGCGGGGCUAGGCGAGCCUCGCCUAGCUGCCGGCGAGGCUCGGCCGACGAGGGCCGACCUCGCUGAGGGCCGGCGACACUCCAGUGAGGUCGUCGGCCCUCGUCUGGCCGAUCGCCGGUCCGGCGACCGGCCACAAGAAAGAAGAAGAAGAUGAGAAAAAGGGAAAAAAAAAAAAAACAGGAAAAAGAAAAGAAAAAAAUGAAAAAAAGAAAAGAAAAAAAGUAAAAAAAUUUUUAAAAUUUUUUAAAAAAAUUGAUUUGGAAUAGAAUUAAUGAGCACGGUACCAAACACAAUUCUAUUCCAGAAUGAGAAAUUUUGGACAGUUACCAAACGGCUUAAAAUGCUUAGAAUUAGUUCCCGGGAACAGAAUAAAAAAGAAUAAGUUCCGAUCAGAAUCUACUCCCGGGAACAGAAUCGUUACCAAACGCGCCCUGACAGUCUGACAAUAUGUGAAAUGAUUAAUAUCACGAAAAACUCCAAAUUGAUACAUUUGUAACUAAUUUAUUUCAAACUAAUUAUUUGACCAUCAAAACUCAAAACUAGUACACCCAUAAUAAAUUUAUUCUAAAUUAAUUUUUUCACCACGAAAACAUCCAACUAGUACACCUAAGACAAAUUUAUCCAAAACUAAUUUUUUUACCAUCAAAAACCCAAAAUCGAUAUAUUCAUAACAAAUUUACCCAAACUAUUUUUUGACCACUAAAAGAAACCCAAACUAGUACAUUAAAACAAAGUUAUUUUAUGUUAUUUUAUGUUAAAUUAGAUUGACAUCAUGACAAACCACAAACAAAAACAAACGGAUGAUAAAAUCUCAAGCUAGUAUAUUCUUUAACUGUUAUGUAUCAUUCAACUUAGUAAUUUAAUGAUAAAAUUUAGAAUAAAAUAAUGGAGGGUAAAUUUAUCAUAGGUGUACCCGUUGAUGGUUUAGUUUGGGGUAAAUUUAUUACAUGUGUACCAAUUUGGGGAUUCUGGUGAUAAAAAAAAUCUAUCAAUAAAAUUGACUUUAUUAUAUACAAUAUAUUAUAUGAUAGGAAACACAUACAUAACCUAUCGAUAAUUUAAUAUAUAGAGUAUAAUUAAUUUGGUUCAAUCAAAUACGAACUGCAGUAAAUAAAAAAAGUUAAGAGUUAAUUUUACUCAAUUAAAGAAUGAUUAUUGGUUGGAAAAAUGACAAAAUAGUCAUGUCAAUUUAAAAAAAAAUCAUAUAUAUAACCCAUGAUGAAUUCAUUUUACAUCAUUCGAAUAAUGAACGACAAAUUUCAUUUUUAUUGAUUUUUCUUUAAUUAUUUAAAUUUCAUAAUUAUUGUCACUACUAUAACUCAAAUAAAUUAAAUUUUCAUAUCGGUUAUAUGUGAAAAAAGAUAAGGAGUUUGGGUAAACAUGAGUUUCAACAAAUUUUGAAAUAUAAAACUCAUGUAAAGCAUGCUCAAGUGCACUAUUUAUUUAAGAAAUAGUAAUUAUAGCAACUCUGUCGGGUGUAAAAAUAUAGUUACACAUGGGAUCAAUACAAAUGAGUUCCAUAAUUCAUAUAACAGUCAUACAAACAAGUACCAUGUACUAUUCUGAGGCAUGCUCAGACCAUUAAAAUAGACGUAAUAAAAUAAUAAAUCACAGCAUGUGGUAUCACGGCUCCAAAUUCACAUAAAGUGGUUCAAGGACUAGCAGCAGCCAUAGGCGUGUCCUUCGGAACGACAGGCAAAGUUGGCUUAGGGAAAUCUGGGAGAUGAGGCAAUUCGGGCACUUCCGGCACUUCCGGCUUCGGUAUUGUCGGUAAUUCAGGCUUUGGCAGUUCCGGAAGUGGCGGCAACUCAACUUUCGGCAGUGAUGGCAAUUCUGGCUUUGGCAAGCUCGGUAUGUCAGGAAGGUGCGGCAAUUCGGGCUUCGGCAGUCCGGGCACCUCGGGCAACGUCGCCUCCAAAAUUCGGCUAGCGCCAACCGAGUUCUUGCCGAUCAUCAAGGACAGAGCAAAGACAAACAAUGCCAAAAGAUGUGCAAGUCCACGAUCAUUCGCCAUCGCAGGACCGAUCGACUAGCAAAUUUAAAAACUUCGAGUGAAGAAGCGACGGAUCUCAAGUGAGGAGGUGCAGGUGUGCUUGAGCAAUGGCUUGAUGGAGGGUUUAUAAAGAGGAGGGACGUGGGGAUUGGGGAGAUUACAAGUAUGGUUUGGUGGGAUUUUGUCGAAGUGUUAGUUCGACUUCUAGACCAAUCUCAUUUCCGUUUGUUCAACAACAAGAUGGAGCAGAUGAUUCCAGAAAGGACCUUGCCAAUUAUUGGCUUUCAACGCUUGUAAACCAUCAGUCGUGCUGGUAUUAUAUAGCUUUUGUUUUGGUUUUCCUAUAAAUAGUUAAUUGGUAACCGUACUUCUAUCAUGAACUACGAUCAUUGUAAAUGAUAUCCUAAAAAUGACCAUCCCGACACACGCAAGCUGAUUUACAUAUGAAAUGAAAAAACUGAGACUAGGUAAAACUAUCUAGAACUAACGUCUUGAAAUAUCUUUUCCGCAAUCCAUCUCAUGUGAUGGAAUGAUAGCCAAGCUUGCAAGGUUUUUCAAUUAUUUGAUAAAUUUUAUACUAUGUUCUUUGACUAGUAGUACACGUGAUUGAUGAACGAAUUAAAGAUCAACAAAUAUUUGAUAACCAACGCAAUACAACCAGAGAAGUCUCAAAACAUAUCUCAAAUCUGAUAUAAUCGUAUGCUUUUAUGGAGCAGAAUAUAAAGUAUAUAUGUAUCUAUUGCGGACCGGUUUGAAAUUGGUCUACUAUCUUAUAAUGACAUUCGAAAAUUAAAUGAAAAACUUCUUUUCUUACCGAAAUUGAAUCUUGAGAAUUUUUCAAGGAAAGUAAAAAUAUAAAGAAAAAAACUCAAAAAGUUCUUUACCGGAAUACAUAUGUGAAAAGUAAGUCCAUUCAAUUUAACGAGAAAGAUUCUUUUCUUUUUCCAAAUAGAUUGAUAAGAUUUUUUGCGGAAAGUAACAAUUUAAAGGAAAGUAUCUUAAGUCUCAAUCUAAAUAUAUUUAGGUGAUAUUGUGUAGUAUUAUGUUUAGACAGAAGUCUUUUUAUUUUUUUCAAGGAAAUUUUGAGAGAGAAGAAUAUUAAAGAUUAACAUAUAUAUCAAAUAUUAUUUAAUGUAAUAAUGAAUGAGAAAAUGUCUAUGAUUAUUAAUUUAAGUAAAAUUGACUAUAUGAGCACGAUAAAUGAUGUGAUAUAUAAAAAAAAGUGUAAAUAUAUCUAUAUUUGAGAGAGAGAGAGAGAGGGAGGGAGAUUAACUUUUCACCCGAAUUAGAAGUUUGAGCUAAAUAGAUUGACAUUAUGCAAAAAAAUAUAUCAAGAAUAGAAAAAAAAAUGAUCUAUAAUGGCUAAGUUGUCUAUACAAUACAAUGUAUGCCAUGUUAUAGAAAACAUCGAUAAUAUUUAACGCAUAUCGAUACUAUAACAUAGAUCUUAAAAUUACUUCGGUUCAAUUCAAUACAAAAUGAAAUAAAAACAACUAUUAGAGUUAAUUUUACUUAAUUGAAGAAUGAUGAUUGCUUGAAACAUAAAAAAAUAGUUGUGUCAAAUUAAAAGGGAAAAUACUCUAUUAUAAAUUCAAGUUUAGUAAAUAAGAUGUUCAAUAAGUGGAUUUAUAAUUUAUAUGUAAGAUAAAUGAACCUAUAUCACUCGAUCAUAUAACAAACAUGUAAUUUUGCUGAUUUUUUUCUUCAAAUAUUUAAAUUCUAUGAUAAGUUAAAUGUGUAUAAAGUAGAUAAUGAGUUUUAGUAAACAUAAAUUUGAUAUAUUUUGAAAUAUAAAACACAUGAAGCAUAAGAAAGUGUACUAGUUUUUUAAGAAAGAGUAACUAUAGCAUACUCUGUCGACGUAAAAGAAGAGUUACACAAGAUAUCAUAAACUAUCAUACAAAUAAGUUCCAUAAUUCAUAUCACAAACUGUCAUACAAAUGACUAUAUAUAGCAUAUAACAUUCUGAGGUGAACACUGACCAUUACAAUAGAAGUAAUAGAAUACAAAUUCAUAUCAUAUUGAAUCCCGACUACAAGUUCACAUCACAACAGUUCAAGGACUAGUAGCAGCGACAGACAUGUCCUUCGGAACAGAAGGAAAUGUUGGCUUAGGGAAAUCGGGAAGGUGAGGCAAUUCAGGCACUUCUUGCAAUUCUGGCUUUGGUAAAGUUGGAAAUUCAAGCUUUGGAAGUUCAAGCACUUUUGGCAAUUCUGGCUUCGGUAUUGUUGGAAAUUCAGGCUUUGGUAGUUCGAGAAGUGGUGGCAAUUCGACUUUUGGCAGCGAUGGCAAUUCUGGUUUUGGCAGGCUUGGGAUGUCGGGAAGCUAAGGGCCUGUUUGGCAACGUGCCAAACAGUGCUAGAUUCUGAUUUUUUGUUCCCAUAAUCAGUUUGGGACGAGAAUCGCGUUUGGUAAAUUUUUUGUUCCCGGGAACAAUUUUGGACAAGAUUUGAGAAUUAAAAAAAAUUUGAUUCUCCGUCCGAGAAUCAGAAAAAGAAUCAAAACGGUGAAACCCUCGCUCUUCCCUUUCAUCAUCCUGGUUGCCGUCCAUCACCGCCCGCCACCGUCCGCCAUUACCCGCUGCCGCCGUCCGCCGCCGGUCGCCAGAGGCUCGCCAGGCCAGGGCGAGGUCCGGCGAGCUCGCCGGAGGCAAGCCUAGCCACCGGCGAGGUCGGCCUGGCCACCGGCGGGGCUGGGCGAGUCUUGCCGGCAGCUGGGCGAGGCUCGGCCUCGCUAGAUCUAGCAAGGCCGAGCCUUGGUGGGGCUGGGCGAGCCUCGCCUAGCUGCUAGCGAGGCUCGACCGACAAAGGCCAACCUUGCCGAGGGUCGGCGACCAGCCAUAUGAAGAAGAAGAAGAAGAAUAGGAAAAAAGGGGAAAAAAAAAAGGAAAAAAGUAAAAAGUAAAAAAAAUUAUUUGGAACAUAAUCAAUUAACACGGUAUUAAACGCAAUUCUAUUCCAGAAUAAAAAAAUUUGGACAGUUACCAAACGCGCUUUUUUACUCAGAAUCAGUUCCCGGGAACAGAAUAAAAAAUAAUCAUUUCUAGUCAGAAUCAGCUCCUGAGAACAGAAUCGUUACCAAACGCGCCCUAAGGCAAUUCUGGCUUCGAUAGUUCAAGCACUUCAGGCAAUGUCGUGUCCAAAAGUUGGCAACUCCAACGUGGUUCUGGCCGAUUGUCAAAGACAAAGCAAGGUUAGUGAGUCCGCAAUAGUUCGCCAUCGUGGAAUUGAGCGACUAGCAAACCAAUAAACCUUGAGUGAAGAAGCGGUGUGUUUGAGCAAUGGCUUGAUGGAGGGUUUUUAAAGAGGAGGGAUCUAAGUAGCACCGACAUAUGACACGGACACGCGACACGACACGACAUGACACGUUGACACGGCAUUUAUAAAAAAUAGAGAAUUUCAACACGUUGUGACAUGUUAUAUACUAAAUGAAUAUUUUUUAUUUUUAAUUAAUUUAAUUCAAAUUCAUAAAUAAAUAAUUAAUUAAAAAAAGAGUCUAUAAUGAAUUUACACUAAUAAUAUUAAUAAAUCAAUUCAUUAGAAAUUCGAAAGAUAUAAUCAUAGUUAAUGCGAAACAUGUUUUUGACUAUAACAAAAGUUAUUGAUGAAAUUAAUGACUAAUAAGAAAUUAGAAUCAAUUUAUUUAUAUAAAUCCACGAUUUUUUUACAAUGACCAAAAUUUAUCAUUAUUCAAAAUUCAAUACUUUUAUUUUUCGAAAUUAUUUUUUAAUCUCAUUUAUUUAAUUUUCCAAUUAAAAACAAAAAUCCCCAGAGGUCCACCCCUUCUUUCCCUCGUCCAUUUCCCUCGACCCGAAAUUUAUUUACUGUCGGGCACUCCACCACUCCUGCAAAACCACCUGGCAAAGAGGCUGUCACUUCCCUCCCCCCAAACUCAAAAAUCACGCCAUCAAUCCCCCCCCCCUCUAGCCACCCUCCUUUUCCUUCUCCUUCUCGCCGCUGGCCGCAUGACCCCCUCCCCUUCCUCUCCUCUUCCUCUCGAUCCUUCUCCUCCUCCUCUUUGCCGCACGACCACCUGCCUCUCUGCACGACCCCCUUCCUCUCCUCCUCCUCCUCCUCCUCCUCCUCGUUGCCGAUCCAUUGCAACAGUGGCGGCCCUCACUUCAGUUUUUGCUCUCUCUGACCGUCUCUUGCUGUUGCGGUGGUCCGUUGUGUGGCUUUGUCUCACUAGCAGGAGUUUGCUUUCUCUGUCUUCUUUCCCUCCAUCGUCUUCUGGACACACGUGUCGAAAUGUGUCGAGAAACGUUGACCACGUGUCCGACCGUGACACGCUCCGACACGUGUCGGACAUGACACGGAAGCAUGGGCAACGUGUCCAUGCCUCAUAGGGAGGGACAUGGGGAUUGGGGAUUGGGGACAUUACAAGUAUGUUUUGGUGGGAAAAAUAAUCUAAUUGUUGGUUCAACUUCUAAACCAAUCUCAUUUUCUUUUGUUCAACACAAGAUGGAGAAGACUCCAAAAAGGUAUCUUGCCACUUCUGGGCUUUCUAAGCCUGUAACUAUCAGCUGUGCAAGAUUUCUCAGCUACGCCGGAAAAAGAAACGAAAGGAGAUGGUUUAUGAUAUCACUCUAUGUACUAGGACGUAGUCCGGAGUUUUGGUUGAAGAAGUCAAUAAUUUAAGGAUAAAAAUCUAAGUUUUGUCAGCGAUCAUUGUACACGAAAUGUAUGCUUAUCUUAAACUUGUCUAAAUUUAUUAAGUGCAUUAAAUAAAUUCAUUAACCUUCUCUUCAGUUUUCCAUUCCCUUUCUCUAUUAUAUCCAUUCACGUGCACUCAAUACUUUCCAAUUUCAAUUUCUAUGUAUCCAUUUGCAUGCUAGAGUUAAGGAUGAUGGUCACUUACAUUCAAUUUUUUUUUUUGGGUAUGGCUGGCCUUUUUUUCACCUAUAAGAGGGUAGAAUAUUUCUUAUUCUGGUCUUUAUUUGCAUUUCAUCUCCUUUUUUUCUCCCCAGAAAUGGAUCUUAGUUGCAAAAUUAAUUCAUGAGAAAUCGAUUUUUCUUUUUCUAAUUUAAUCUUGACUUGCUAUUGAAUGGAUAAUCGGUUAUCAUCACUCCCAAUUAGAUUAGAAAAAAUGACUACAUCUCAAUAUAUCAAUUUACAUCCGAACUGUAAAAAAUAAGACUCGGCAAUAAUCUAUUUCUUAUGUAUGGAUCAUCUUUCUUACCGGUAUCUCGAAAAGCAAAUGAAUUUUUUUUUUUUUGGCAUAAACAUUUUUGUUGAGUGUCUUAAAAAAUUAACUACAUUUAAAAAUGCAGCAAACAUACAAAGAGAUAAGAGGAAUGGUGAGGGAUUUUGAUUUCACGUGAAUUAGCAAAAACGAUUGAGCACUUAUGAGCUGAAACUUUCUUCUAUGCAAUCCAUCUUAAAUGACAAUAUAAUAGCCAACCUGGCAAGGUUUUUUUUUUAAAACUAUUUAUGAAUUUUAUAUUAUGCUUUCCAGAUAGUAGUGUACGUAAUUGAUGAACAAACAAAAGAUCAAACAAAUAUUUAAUAACCGACUUAAUACUACCAUAGAAGUUUCAACACAUAUCACAAAUAUGAUAUAACCAUAUUCUUGCAUGUGGUAGCUUAUUAACUAUAAAUGUAUCUACAACACACGGGUUUGAAAACUAGUCUAAUAUAUAAUAGGGGCUUCUGAACAUUAAAUGCAUUCAAUUUAAUGAGAAACAUUCUUUUCUUAUCCAAAUUGAAGUUUUAGAUUUUCUUUUUUUCACUUGAAAUAGAAUUAGUCGCAGAAAAGAGUGGGAAUAUGCGAAACAAGAUCCAAGAAUAGAAAAAAAAAUGAUUUAAUAACAGUAAAGUUGAGUAUGAUCUGCAUUAUAUAUUAUUUGAUAGAAAAAGUACAUAAUGACUAACAUGCAUCAAUACCAUAACAUAUAGCGAAAAAUUACUUUGGUUUAAUCAGAUACAAAAUUUAGUAAAGUACAAAUAUUAGAGUUGAUUUUGCUUGACUAAAGAAUGAUGAUUGCUUAAAAUGACAAUAUUUGUGCCAAAUUAAAAGGAAAAAUAAUCUACGAUAAUUCAAUUUUAAUAAAAUAUGAUAUAUAAGAUGUUUGAUGACUUAAAGUGUAUUUAUAAUUUGUAUGUAAGACAAAUGAACCUAUCUCAGUCCAUCAUAUAAUAAAAGAUGCAUUUUUUCUGAUUUUUUCUUCAAUUGUUUAGAUUAUGUCACCGUUAUCACUCUAAAAUAUUAAAUUCCCAUAUAAGUUAGAAGUGAAAAAAGUGGACAAGGAAGUAACAUAGAUAUCUUCUAUUUUGAAAUAUAAAACUCGUACAAAACAUAGGGGAGUGCACUAGCUAUAUUAAAUAAGAGUAAUAAUAGUAUACACUAUUGAUGUAAAAAAAUAGUUACACAAGACAUCACAAACUGUGAAGGAGUUCCAUAAUUCAUAUCACUAAAACAAACAAGUAUUGUAUAGUGUUCUGAGGUAUGCUCAGACCAUUAAAAUAGAAGUAAUAAAAUACUGAAUCGCAUCAUGUUGUAUAACGACUCCAAAUUCACAUUAAUGGCUCAAGGGCUAGUAGCAGAGACGGCUGUGUCCUUGGGAAUCGUGGGAACGAAAGGCAAUGUUGGCUUGGGAAAAUUAGGAAGAUGAGGCACUUCGGGCACUACCGGCAAUUCCGGCUUUGGUAUUGUUGGAAUUUCGGGCUUUGGUAGCUCACGAAGCGGUGGCAAUUCGACUUUCGGCAGUGAUGGGAAUUCUGUCUUUGGCAAGCUAGGGAUGUCAGGAAGUUGAGGCAAUUCAGGCUUCGGCAAUUCCGGCACUUCUAACGACUCUGGCUUCGGUGUUGCUGGAAAUUCAGGCUUUGGUAGUUCAGGAAGCGGUGGCAAUUCGACUUUCGGCAAUGAUGGGAAUUCUGGCUUUGGCAAGCUAGGGAUGUCAGGAAGGUGAGGCAAUUCAGGCUUCGGUAGUUCGGGCACUUCGGGCAAGGUCGCCUCCAAAAGUUGGCGGGCUCUGACUGGGUUCUCACCAAUCGUCAAAGACAGAGCGAGGACAAACAAUGCCAAAAGGUGCGUGAGUCCAUGAUGGUUCGUCAUUGGAGAAUCAAUCGACUAGCAAAUUCAAAAGCUUUGAGUGAAGAAGCGGCGAAUCUCGAGUGAGAGAAUCUGCAGGUGUGCUUGAGCAAUGGCUUGAUGGAGGGCUUAUAAGGAGGAGAGACGUGGAGGAUUGGGGAGAAUGCAAGUAUGGUUUGGUGGGAAUAUUAUCAAAGGGUUAGGUCAACUUCUAAACCAAUCUCAUUUUUGUACGUUCAACAGCAAGAUGGAGCAUAUUAUUCCAAAAGGAGCUUGCCAAUUCUUGGCUUUUCAGGCUUCUGACUACCUGUCGAGGCCAGAAAGAGGGAGAAAAAAAGAAAAGAAAUGGUUUAUGAUCUCACUAUGUACAACAGGACCGGAGUCUUGGAGUCUUAAAAUAUUGGAAAAGCUAAUCAUGUAAGAGCAAAAUAAUAAAUAUUGUCCGUGAUAAUUAUUCGUGGAAUCUUUACUUGAUGUAAGGAUUACUCAAGUGUUAAGCAUGUAUGUUUUCGUCUGAGGCCUAGGUUCGAAUCCUCACAAUUGUGCAUUCUUUUGGACGAUCUUUGAGAACAUAGGUAUGUAUGAAUCCGAUUAUUUCUCAUUUGUGUCGGAUAAAACUACUCUUGCCGGAAAAAAAACAAAACUUUAGGUGACAAAUUUUUAGGGACAGACAUAAAAAGAGAUCCUUAAACAGAGUUUCUAGUUAGGGGUGAGUAGUUCUAAGGUUGGUUUAGGUUUCCACUUAACCAGAACUUGGAAUUUACCCUAUUGAGAUCGGUUUCCCAAUUUUUGAAACUUAAAACCUAUCAUGUAUAUCUUAAAAUUUAUGACCUGCUCUAUCAAUCGAAUCUAAAGUCUAUUAGGGAACCGGCCGAUUUCUCUUCUUCUUCUUCUUUUUUUCAUUUUUUCUUCAUUUUUCUUGUUUCAUUUUAGUCAAGCAAUAGAGAGAACAUGACAACAAAAAUCAUCAUUUGUCAAUAACAAUAAUCUAUAAAAUAUUAGCACCUAAAAUAAAAUAAACAAUAAAAUGUUGAAAACGCAUAAUGUAGAAUCCAAAUUUCAUGCUCUCAAAGGAGUCAAAAACCACGAUAAAAACCAAGGAGUCGAAUGAAGGAACUUUCUUUUUAUUUGAGCCUCGUGUAAGUUCAUGCCAUGCUCUAUUUUAGGAGUACCUUGGUUCUUGUUCUAGUUCUCUGAUUUUCAGUCUGAUUCGCUGAUUCUUAGUUCAAUUCUAUUCAAUUCUUAAGAAUCGCAUAAUACAAGUUCCAAAAAAUAUGAAACCGAAAGCUAUGCUUGUUAGAACCUAGAGAUAGGCCGAUUCCCAUGACCUGUUUGAUCUUUCUUGAUUAUACUUGGAAAAUUUGCUCACCCUCAACUUCUUGUUCCGUCCCUACGGAAAUAUUGAACGAGCCAUCGUUAAUGGUAAUAGUGUAAAUGAUUCAGUUUGGUUCGGUUUUUUCGGAAAACCCAACCAAACCGAACCGAUAAAGAAAUUUAUUGAAUCGAACUGAAAUUACAUCCAAAUCGAAACCGAAUCGAAUCGAAAUCUUGAUUCAAUUUAGUUCAAUUUUUACUUUUUUUUUUGUUUUUCUUUUCCCUACCCCUUUUAAUAAAUUUUUUAUAUUUUAGAAAAAUCAAAUUUUUAAUUAUUUUUUUCUUUUUUUCUUCUUUUUUCCUUUUCUUUCUCUUCUUCAUUCGCUAGUCACUAACUGCCACCGUGGCUGGCAAUUAGCCAAUGAAGAAGAAGAAAAAGAAAAAAGAAAAAAAAUAAAAAUAAACAAUUUAAAAAAAUAAAAUGAAAUAUUUUAGAUUUUAUUGGUUUGGUUCAAUUAACCAAACUGAUAAAAACUGAACUAGUUAAAAAAAUUUCGAUUUUUAAUGAAAAUCGAAUAGAUUGAGAAUCAAACCGAAAAAAAAAAAAAAUCGACAUUUUCGGUUUGGUUCGGUUUUUGACACCCAAGUGAAUGGGCUAGGGGAUAAAUCUAACAUGAAAACUUCAAGUGAAAUCCCAACCUGAAAUAAGAGAAGCGAAGCCCGUCGCAAAAAGAGAAGCCCACCUCCCACUUGAUUUUCUCCCGGCCUCUUCCUCUCCCUUUCCACCCUGCAAAAAGCUCAGCUCGAGUUUCUAUCGGUGUCUCCUUCGCACUCCAGCUGCAGCUCGUCGAUCUCGCGGACGAGAGCUUCUUCAGAUCCGGAUUCCCCGUCGGCUUUCUCCUUCACGGUCUCCGCAGGUCACUUUUCCCUCUCUCUCUCUCUCUCUCUCUCGCGCGCGCGCAUUUCUCUGGCCAAUGUGGGGAGACGAUUCGCGAAGCGGUCGACUGGGGCGGAUGUUUGGAUCGUGGGUUGUGGGAGUUACCGGGUCGGGUCCUUCGUUUCCCCUUAUCUUCUCACUUUUGGGGGGCAUAGCUCAUCUGGGUUGCUCUUGCCAACGAACUAACCCGGCGUGGUUGUAGGCGGUGCCGUGUCUUGUGAGUGCUUGCCCACCUUGUGUUCGCCAUAAUGUUUCACUGGAUUUAUGUAGAGGAGGAGGGUUUUCCAGACUCCUAUUUGCUUCUCUAAUUAUACAUUUUCACGCUUAGUAUUAGGUGAAAAUACCAUACUAAGCAUGACAUGAAAUGUUAGAAUAAUUAAUUAACUUAAUUUUUUAGAACAGUAGUUGAUAUUAGUCCCACAUAAUCUCACUGAACGAGAGAGAGAGAGAGUAAAAGCAGAGACGACCCCACACAACAUACCUACUUUGGCUGCCCAUCAUAAAUUAGAACGUUAACUGACAUGUUCUCGGCGGAGGCAUGGUGGCGAUGAGGUACUGAUGCUGAACUCCACUUCAAUGCCAAUGCCAAUCUGGGUUUUUUCUUCUUUUGUUCGUCUGCAUUAGCUCUUUCACAAGUGCUUGGAACUUCAUCAAUAACCAAUGAAACGCUACCACAGAAGUUUCUGACACCAUAUCUCAAAUAUGAUGCGAUCCUCAUCCCUUAUAUGUAGUGGAAUUUUAAGUACAGAUGUAUCUAUAUUAACACAGGUUUGAAAACUAGUCUGAUAUAUUCCGACCAAAAUGAGAAAAAAAAAACUUGUCCGAUAUAUCAUCAGCCUUUUGAACGUUACAUGCAUUCAAUCUAAUGAGAAAGAUUCUUGUCUUUUGCAAAUAGAAUGAUUAGGUAAUUUCAAGAAAAGUAGAGAAUUUAAAGGAAAGUCUUUGAGAAUCUCAAUCUAAUUACCAAUAUUUAGAUGAUAUUGUUUAUGACUUUGUGUAGUAAAGUAGAACAUGUAUAGAGAGAAGUCAAUAUACUUUUUCAAGUUAAAAGAAAUAAAAAUAGUUUAUGAUAUAUUCAACUAUCGUAAAAAUAUGAACUAUAAAUAUAUAUAGUGAAUUUAAAAUUUAAUAUAUGACAAAUGAUCAUACACUAUUCGAUUGUAUAAUAAACAGCACAUUUUACAUUUUUGUUGAUAUUCUUUUUCACAAUUUAAAUUCCAUGACUAUUGUCAUUCUUAUAACUCUAAAACUAUGAAAAGUUUUCAUAUAAGUUGGAUGUGAAAAGAAGUAGACAAGGAGUUUUAGCAAACAUAAAUUUCAAUAUUUUUGAAAGUAUAAAACUCAAGCAACGCAUGGACAAGUGCACUAGGUAUAUAAACAAAUUACAGUAUACUCUCUCCGUGUAAAUGAAGAAGUUACGCAAAGCAUCACUAACUGCCGUAAUAACGAUUUCCGUUAAGUCAUGUCACAAACCGUAAUACAUAUAAGUACACAUGGCAUAUACCAUUCCAAGGCAUGAUUAGACCGUUAAAAUAGAAGUAAUAAGAUACUAAAUCGCAGCAUAUUCUAUCACGACUCCAAAUCCACAUCAUUGCGGUUCAAGACUACGGGUCUGCAUGGUAACCUUCCACAGCCCAAAAAUUUAUAUUCUUCUCUUCCCCAGAACAAAAAAAGAAUAGAAACCCGUUUGAUAACAACAAGUUAAUUUUUUGUUCCCGGGAACAAAAUGUUAGCCCGGGAAUGGUUUUGGAAUAGAAAUGAGAAGUAAAAAAAAAGUUGCUUCUUGUUCCCGGGAACAAGUUUAAGAAAUAAGUGAAUUUUUUUUUUCUUUUAUUCUUCUCUUGCUAACCGCCAUUGACCACCGUUGACCACCACCCGCCGUUGUUCGCCGCUGCCGGCCGACCGCCGCCCGCCGCCGGCCGACCGCCGGCCGACCGCCGACCAACCGCCGGCCGCCUCCGCCGCCGCCGCCGGUCGCCGGAGGCCGAUCGACCGUCGCCGGUCACUACUGGACGCCGCCGCCACCGCCGGCUGCUGCCGGUCGCCGGAGGCCGACCGACCGUCGCCACCGCCGGUCGCCGCCGCCACCGCCGGUCGCCGACCGACCGUCGCCGCUGGUCAACCCCGGACGCCACCGGUCGCCGACCGACCGUCGCCGCCGGCCGACCGUUGCCGCGGCCACCGCCGGUCGCCGGAGGCCGACCGACCGCCGCCGUCGGUCGACCGCGAUCGCCGCCGAACGCCGCCGCCGCCGCACGUCUCCGCCGGCCGAGCGCCGCCGGCCGACCGACGGUCGGCGGCGGCCGAUGGGCCGUGCGGUAGCGAUUGGCGGCGAGAGUCGGCCGGCGGCGCUCGGCCGGCGGCGACGUGCGGCGGCGGCAGCGUCCGGCGGUGGCCAUGGUAUACCGGAAAAAAUAAAACACAAAUAAAUAUAAAAAAUAAACUGUUUUUUACCAAACGCAUUUCUAUUCUUUUUCUAUUUCUAGAGUAAAAAUUUUGUGUAGUUAUCAAACGGGUUUUUUUACCUAGAAAUUGUUCUCCAGAAUAGAAAUAAAAAAGAACUAUUUCUGAAAAAAAAUUGUUCCCCAGCCAAGAAAUGUUCUCAUGCGCACCCAUAGACAUGUCCUUCAGAAAGAAAGGCAACGUUGGCUUGGGGAAAUCGGGGAGAUGAGGCAAUUUGGGCAAUGCUGGCAAUUCCAGCUUGGGUUUUGUUGGUAUUUCAGGCUUUGGCAGUUUUGGAAAUAGCAGUAAUUCGACUAUUGGCGGUGAUGGCAAUUUCGGUUUUGGCAGGUUUGGGAUGUCGGGAAGGUGAGGCAAUUCGGACUUCAGAAGUUCAGGUACCUUAGGCAACACUGCCUCCAAAAUUCGGCGAGCUUCAACGGAGUUCUCGCCAAUCGUCAAUGACAAAGCAAGGACAAAUAAUGCCAAAAGAUGCGAGAGCCCACAGUAGUUCGCCAUCAUAGAACCAAUAUACUAGCAAAUUGAAAAACUUGUGAAGAAGUGGUUGAUCAAGUGUAAAGGUGCAGGUGUGUUCGAGCAAUGGCUUGAUGGAGGGUUUUUAAAGAGGAGGGACGUGGGGAUUGGGGAGAUUGCAAGUAUGUUUUGGAGGGAAAAUUAUUGAAGUGUUCGUUGAACUUCCAAACCAAUCUCAAUCUCUUUUAUUCAACAACAAGAUGGAGCAGAUAAUUCCAAAAAGGAUCUUUAUAUUCUUGGCUUUUUUAAGCUUGUAAGUGCGAGUUGUUUUGGACUUCCUAGCUAGGCGGGAAAGACAAAAGAAAGGAAAUGAUUUAUGAUCUCACUCUAUGUACAAGAGGACGAAGUCCAUAGCUUUGCUCAGAGAAGUCAACAAUGUUAACAGUAAAAUCUAAGUUUUGCCAGUGAUAAUUAUACAUGAAAAAUAUUCUUGAUGCAAGGAUUGCUCGAGUGGUAGGAAUAUUACUUCUCUUUCUCUGAUAAUUUCAUAAACUUGUGUAUCUGGUAAUUUCUUGAUAUGCGUGGGACAAGGCAGCAACCACUUAACACCAUUUUGGGCCUCAAUAGAGAAGCUUAUGGUCAAGUUGAGGGUAAGGCCACCAACUUUGGAGGGAGUUGGUGGCGUACAAGCCGACUUCGGAGGAGAUGUUAAUUGCUUCUUGAGAAAGUGAGGGUUUAAGAUCCACGAAAUUGCGAAGUUAAGAAGGAGAAGACUAAGCGGUACGGGAAAUUGAAGAACUGCCAACCUCCGAUGAAACUAAAGAUUGAAUGAAACAAUUCAAUUGGGUAAUUGAAGGACUCUCAGUAGAGAGCACCAAGGACAUCAAUCAAUUGGAUGGGGGAGAAUAUCACGGACCGGAGGUUCUCAGGUGCGAUAGGCUGAGGAGGUGGCAAUGUGACCGGGCGUGCCUUAGAUUUAGAGAAGCCCCGUCAUUAAUGGAGGUAUGUGGUAAAUGAAGAGAUAUAUAAAUUUUUUGUAUAUCUCCACUUUUUUCAUCCUAGGAAGAAUAGGUAUUCAUUACUAUGGUCUUUAUGUGUAUUUAAUUCUCUCUUUUCCUCUUCCCCUCAAAAAGAGCGGUCCAAGGGUCACAAUCAAUUCGGGAGAAAUUAGUUUUUCUUUUCUUUAUUUGAUCUUGACUUGCAGUUGGAUGAAUAUUUGGUUAUUAUCCUUCUAAAUAAUAUGCUGAAUAUUACUACAUCUCAAUAAAUAUACACGCUGAUUCACAAUGAAAAAAAAAAAAGAAUUGGUGAGAAUCUAUUCCUUAUUUAUGGAUCAUCCUUCUUAUCAGUAUCUAGGAAAGCAAUUGAUUUUUUUUUUUGACAGAUACUUUUUUUAUUAAUUCAAAUUCAAAUUUGUUAAGUGACAAGUUAACUAUACUUCAAAAUUUGGCAGAAAUACAUCGAGACAAAUAAAAAAUUGGUGAGGGAUUCUUUAUUUAUAAGAAGUAGCAAAACUGAUUUAGAGCUUAUGUCCUGAAAUUAUCUUUUGUGAUCUGUCUCAUCUUAUAACAUAAUGGUCAAGCUCGCAAGGUUUUUCACCGUUGGGGUAUUUGUGUCACCGUAGGCUUAUACAAGAUUUUUUAUAAUAUUAAUCUUAUGGAAAAAUAUAUAUAUAUAUAUAUAUAUAUAUAUAUGUAUCUAUUUUUUUACAAUAAGGAAAGAAAUCGACUUUUUUGCUUGAAAUAGAAAGUGUAACAAAAUAGACUGAUGAUAUACGAAAAUGUCAAUAUUAUGAAAAACUCUAAACUGAUACAUUUGUGACAAAUUUAUUUCUAUCUAAUUAUUUGACUACAAAAAACUCCAAACCGGUACACUUGUGACAAAUUUACCUAAAAUUAUUAUUUUAUUUUUUGUAAAGGGUAAGAAACCUAAAAUUAAUUUUUUGACCAUGAAAACAUUUAAAUUGGUACACCUAAAAUAAAUUUACCAAAAACUAAUUUGUUUGACCACCAAAAACCUCAAAGUGAUAUACCCCUAACAAAUUUACCCAAACUAAUUUUUUGACCACUAAAAAACCCCAAAGUGGUAUAUUUAGACAAAUUUCUUCUAUGUUAGCUUCUGUUAAACUGGAUUAACACCAUGAAAAACCGCAAACUAAAACAAACAGGGGGUAAAAUCCCAAACUAAUAUUUCUUUUCAAAUGUCACUUAUCAUCUAACUUAGUACUUUAACAGUAAAAUUUAAAAUAAAAUAAUGGAGGGUAAAUUUGUUAUAAGUAUAUUAGUUAUGGUUUUAGUUUGGGAUAAAUUUAUUACAUGUGUACUAGUUUGGGGUUUUUGGUGAUCAAAAAUUUAAUUAAGGAUAAAUUUAUCAUAAGUGUAUCAGUUUAGUGUUUUUAAUGUACCAGUUUGGAGUUUCUAUUUUUGAGAAUAGGAAAAUAGCAACAAAAAAAAAAGAUCUAUCAAUAAAAUUGACUAUAUCAUAUACAAUAUAUUAUGUGAUAGGGAACAUGUACAUAUUAAUUAACACCUGUCAAUCUUUAAUAUAUAGCGUAUAAUUACUUUGGUUCAAUCCAAUAUGAAUUGCAGUGAAUAUUUUUUUUUUUUUACUUAAUUAAAGAAUGAUGAUUGGUUGGAAAAUGACAAAAUAGUUGUGUCAAUUUUAGGAAAUAUAUAUAUAACCCAUGAUGAAUUCAUUUUAAGUAUACAUAUAAGACAAACAAACCUCUAUUGUCAUGAAGGGUUGAUACCUUGAAAAAUCUCAAACUAGUACACAUGUGAUAAAUUUAUCUUAAACUAAUUUUUUGACCAUGAAAAACCUCAAAUUGGUACACUCGUGAUAAAUUUACCUCGACUAAUCAUAAAAAAAAAUCUCAAACUAGUACAUUUGUGACAAAUUUAUCCCAAACUAAUUUAUUUGAUCGCCAAAAAACCCAAAUCGGUACAUUUUUGACAAAUAUACCCUCCAUUAAAUUAGAUUAAUAUCACAAAAAAUCACAAAAAUUGUAUUACGGUAACAAAUGGAGAAUAAAAUAUCAAAUUGGUACAUCAGUAAAUUGCCGCAUGUCAUUCAAUUUAGUAAUUUGAUAGUAAAAUUUAACGGAAACAAAUAGACAAUAAAUUUAUUACAAAAAAUUAGUUUUGGGUAAAUUUGUCAAGAGUGUAUCAGUUUGGGAUUUUUCAGGAUAUUAACCCAAUAAUGAAUGACGCAUUUUAUUUUUCUUGAUUUUUUCUUUGAUUAUUUGAAUUUCAUAAGUAUUGUCAUUACUAGAACUCAUAUAAAUUACAUUUUCAUAUUAGUUAUAUGUGAAACAAGAUAAGGAGUUUCAGCAAACAUGAGUUUCAACAAAUUUAGAAAUAUAGAACUCAUGUGAAGCAUGCUCGAGUGCACUAGGUAUUUAAGAAAGAGUAAUUAUAGCAACUCCGUCGGAUGUAAUAGUUUAGUUACUCAAGAUAUCACAAAUUGUCCCACAAAUAAGUUUCAUAAUUGUCCCACAAAUAUGUUCCAUAAUUCAUAUAACACUAUCAUACAAAAUAUACUGUUCCGAGGCAUGCUCAGACCAUCAAAGUAGACGUAAUAAAAUAUUAAAUCACAGCAUGUUGCAUCACGACUCCAAAUUCACAUCACAACGGUUCAAGGAUUAGUAGCAGCCGCAGGCAUGUCCUUCGCAACGAAAGGCAAAGUUGGCUUAGGGAAAUCGGGGAGAUGAGGCAAUUCGGGCACUUCCGGCAAUUCCGGCUUCGGUAUUGUUGGUAAUUCAGGCUUUGGCAGUUCCGGAAGUGGCGGCAAUUCAACUUUUGGCAGUGAUGGCAAUUCUGGCUUUGGCAGGCUUGGGAUGUCGGGAAGGUGUGGCAAUCCGGGCUUCGGCAGUUCGGGCACCUCGGGCAACGUCUCCUCCAAAAUUCGGCUAGCUCCAACCGAGUUCUCGCCGGUCAUCAAGGACAAAGCAAAGACAAACAAUGCCAAAAGAUGCACAAGUCCGCGAUAGUUCGCCAUCGCAGGACCGAUCGACAAGCAAAUUUAAAAACUUCAAGUGAAGAAUCGAUGGAUCUCAAAUGAGGAGGUGCAGGUGUGCUUGAGCAAUGGCUUGAUGGAGGGUUUAUAAAGAGGAGGGACGUGGGGAUUAGGGAGAUUACAAGUAUGGUUUGGUGGGACUUUGUCGAAGUGUUAGUUCAACUUCUAGACCAAUCUCAUUUUCGUAUGUUCAACAACAACAUGGAGCAGAUAAUUCCAGAAAGGACCUUGCCAAUUAUUGGCUUUCAACGCUUGUAACCAUCAGUCGUGCUGGUAUUAUAGCUUUUGUUUUGGUUUUCCUAUAAAUCGUUAAUUGGUAACCGUACUACAAUCAUGAACUACGAUCAUUGUAAAUGAUAUCCUAAAAAUGACCAUCCCGAUACACGCACAUAUAUAUAGCUGAUUUACAUAUGAAAUUAAAAACUGAGACUAGGUAAAACUAUCUAACGUCUUGAAAUAUCUUUUCCGCAAUUCAUCUCAUGUGAUGGAAUGAUAGCCAAGCUUGCAAGGUUUUUCAAUUAUUUGAUAAAUUUAAGACUAUGUUCUUUGACUAGUAGUACACGUGAUUGAUGAACGAAUAAAAGAUCAUCAAAUAUUUGAUAACCAACGCAAUACUACCAUAGAAGUCUCAAAACAUAUCUCAAAUAUGAUGUAAUCGUAUGCUUUUAUGGAGCAGAAUAUAAAGUAUAUAUGUAUCUAUUACGGACCAGUUUGAAAUUGGUCUACUAUAUUAUAAUGACAUUCGAAAAUUAAAUGAAAAACUACUUUUCUUACCGAAAUUGAAUCUUGAGAAUUUUUCAAGGAAACUAAAAAUAUAAAGAAAAUACUCAAAAAAUUCUUAACCGGAAUACAUAUGUGAAAAGUAAGUCCAUUCAAUUUAACGAGAAAGACUCUUUUCUUUUCCAAAUAGAUUGAUAAGACUUUUUGCGGAAAAUAACAAUUUAAAGGAAAGUAUCUUAAGUCUCAAUCUAAAUAUAUUUAGGUGAUACUGUGUAGUAUUACAUAUAGAAAGAAGUCUUUUUAUUUUUUUCAAGGAAAUUUUGAGAGAGAAGAUUAUUAAAGAUUAACAUGUAUAUCAAAUAUUAUAUAAUGUAAUAAGUAUUGAAAUUAACUUCAUGGGAAUGAGAAAAUGUUUUGAUUAUUAAUUUAAGUAAAAUUGACUCUAUGAGACUCGAUAUGUGAUGUGGUAUAAAAAAGAAAAAAAAUGUAAAUAUAUCUAUAUUUGAGAGAGAGAGAGAGAGAGAGAUAAACUUUUCACUCGAAUUAGAAGUUGGAGCUAAAUAGAUUGACAUUAGGCGAAACAAUAUAUCAAGAAUAGAAAAAAAAAAUGAUCUAUAACGGCAAAGUUGUCUAUACAAUACAAUGUAUGCCAUGUUAUAGAAAACAUCGAUAAUAUUUAACAUAUAUCGAUACUAUAACAUAGAGCUUAAAAUUACUUCAAUUCAAUUCAAUACAAAAUGAAAUAAAAACAAACAUCAGAGUUGAUAUUACUUAAUUGAAGAAUGAUGAUUGCUUGAAACAUGAAAAAAUAGUUGUGUCAAAUUAAAAGGGAAAAUACUCUAUGAUAAAUUCAAGGGAAAAUUCCAAAAAGGUACCCGAAAUACCCUAUUUUUUUCAAAUAAGAGCCUAAAGUGAAUCUUAUUUCAAAUAAGGACUGAAGUGCAUUUGUUUUCUCAAAUAAGGGUUUAAAGUGGAUGUUAUUUCAAAUGAGGACCUAAAGUAAUUAUGUUUAUUUCAAAUAAGAGCAUGAAGUGGCUAUAUCCGUUUGAAAUAAGAACCCGUCUUUCUAGCGAUCAAUGGUAUUUUCGUCAUUUGUCAUUUGUCCAUUUUUUUUUUUUUUUUUUCCAUUUUUUUGACUAGCUCUUGUUCCUCUUCGCCAAUGGCCAGCCGGCCAUUGGCAAUGCCCACAAAGGGCUGAGCAAGAGAGUGAGGGUCACCACACUCAAGCAAGGCUGUCCGUCACUUGUGGGCAGGGUGGGUGGCCCUUGCUGGUGGGGGCGACCCUCGCUUAGCCCUUUGUGGGCAUCACUGGCAAAAAGGAAGAAGAAUAACCAAAAGAAAAAAAGGAAAGAAAAAAAAAGUGAAAUGCAAAAUGACAAAAAUACCCUUGGCUGGUUGGAAAAUUUAGCCACUCAGCGAUCGGCGAGAUCAGGUCUUUAUUUGAAACAACCAAAGCCACUUCAGGCCCUUAUUUGAAACAACUAAGGCUACUUUAGGUUCUUAUUUGAAACAAAAUCCAUUCCGGGCCCUCAUUUGAGAAAACAAUAACACUUCGGGUCUUUUUUUGAAAUUUUCCCUAAAUUCAAUUGAAGUAAAUAAGAUGUUCAAUAAGUGGAUUUAUAAUUUAUAUGUAAGAUAAAUGAACCUAUAUCACUCGAUCCUAUAACAAACAUGUAAUUUUGCUUAUUUUUCCUUCAAAUAUUUAAAUUCUAUGAUAAGUUAAAUGUGUAUAAAGUAGAUAAUGAGUUUUAAUAAAUAUAAAUUUGAUAUAUUUUGAAAUAUAAAACACAUGAAGCAUCAGAAAGUGUACUAGUUGUUUAAGAAAGAGUAACUAUAGCAUACUCCGUCGGUGUAAAAGAAGAGUUACACAAGAUAUCAUAAACUAUCAUACGAAUAAGUUCCAUAAUUCAUAUCACAAACUGUCAUACAAACGACUAUAUAUGGCAUAUAACAUUCUGAGGUGAACACUGACCAUUACAAUAGAAGUAAUAGAAUACUAAUUCAUAUCAUAUCGAAUCCCGACUACAAGUUCACAUCACAACGGUUCAAGGACUAGUAGCAGCGAUAGACGUGUCCUUCGAAACGGCAGGCAAUGUUGGCUUAGGGAAAUCGGGAAGGUGAGGCAAUUCAGGCACUUCUGGCUUUGGUAAAGUUGGAAAUUCAAGCUUUGGAAGUUUGGGCACUUCCGGCAAUUCUGGCUUCGGUAUUGUUGGAAAUUCAGGCUUUGGCAGCUCGGGAAGUGGCGGCAAUUCGACUUUUGGCAGAGAUGGCAGUUCUGGUUUUGGCAGGCUUGGGAUAUCGGGAAGCUGAGGCAAUUCUGGCUUCGGCAGUUCAGGCACUUCAGGCAACGUCGCGUCCAAAAGUUGGCGAGCUCCAACGCGGUUCUGGCCGAUUGUCAAAGACAGAGCAAGGACAAACAAUGACAAAAGAUUAGUGAGUCUGCAAUAGUUCGCCAUCGUGGAAUUGAGCGACUAGCAAACCGAAAAACUUUGAGUGAAGAAGCGGUGUGUUUGAGCAAUGGCUUGAUGGAGGGUUUUUAAAGAGGAGGGACGUGGGGAUUGGGGAGAUUACAAGUAUGUUUUGGUGGGAAAAAUAAUCUAAGUGUUGGUUCAACUUCUAAACCAAUCUCAUUUUCUUUUGUUCAACAACAAGAUGGAGAAGACUCCAAAAAGUUAUCUUGCCACUUCUGGGCUUUCUAAGUCUGUAACUAUCAGCUGUGCUAGAUUUCUCAGCUACGCGGGAAAAAGAAACGAAAGGAGAUGGUUCAUGAUUUCACUCUAUGUACAAUAGUAGGACGAAGUCCGGAGUUUUGGUUGAAGAAGUCAAUAAUUUAAGGAUAAAAAUCUAAGUUUUGUUAGCGAUCAUUGUACAUGAAAUGCAUACUCAUCUAAAACUUGUCUAAAUUUAUUAAGUGCAUUUAAUAAAUUCAUUAACCUUCUCUUAAGUUUUCCGUUCCCUUUCUCUAUUAUAUCCAUUCACGUGCACUCAAUACUUUUCAAUUUCAAUUUUUAUGUAUCCAUUUGCAUGCUAGAGUUAAGGACGAUGGUCACUUACAUUCAAUUUGUUUGUUUUUUUUUUUUUUUGGGGGUAUGCCUGGCCUUUUUUUCACCUAUAAGAGGGUAGAAUAUUUGUUAUUCUGGUCUUUAUGUGCAUUUCAUCUCCUUUUUUUCUCCUCAGAAAUGGGUCUUAGUUGCAAAAUUAAUUCAUCAGAAAUCGAUUUUUCUUUUUCCAAUUUGAUCUUGACUUGCUAUUGAAUGGAUAAUCGGUUAUCAUCACUCCCAAUUAGAUUAGAAAUAUGACUACAUCUCAAUAUAUCAAUUUACAUCCGAACUGUAAAAAAUGAGACUCGGCAAUAAUCUAUUUCUUAUGUAUGGAUCAUCUUUCUUACCGGUAUCUCGAAAAGCAAAUGAUUUUUUUUUUUGGCAUAAACAUUUUUGUUGAGUGUCUUAAAAAAUUAACUACAUUUAAAAAUGCAAAAAUACAAAGAGAUAAGAGGAAUGGUGAGGGAUUUUGAUUUCACAUGAAUUAGCAAAAACGAUUGAGAAUUUAUGAGCUGAAACUUAUUGAGAACUUAUGGGCUAAAACUUUCUUCUAUGCAAUCCAUCUUAAAUGACAAUAUAAUAGCCAACCUGGCAAGGCUUUUUUUUCUUUUUUAAACUAUUUAUGAAUUUUAUAUUAUGCUUUCCAGAUAGUAGUGUACGUAAUUGAUGAACAAACAAAAGAUCAAAAAAAUAUUUAAUAACCGACUUAAUACUACCAUAGAAGUUUCAACACAUAUCACAAAUAUGAUAUAACCAUAUUCUUGCAUGUGGUAGCUUAUUAACUAUAAAUGUAUCUAUAACACACGGGUUUGAAAACUAGUCUAAUAUAUAAUAGGGGCUUCUGAACAUUAAAUGCAUUCAAUUUAAUGAGAAACAUUCUUUUCUUAUCCAAAAUGAAGUUUUAGAUUUUUUUUUUCCCUUGACAUAGAAUUAGUCGCAGAAAAGAGUGGGAAUAUGCGAAACAAGAUCCAAGAAUAGAAAAAAAAAUGAUUUAAUAACAGUAAAGUUGACUAUGAUCUGCAUAAUAUAUUAUUUGAUAGAAAAAGUACAUAAUGACUAACAUGCAUCAACACCAUAACAUAUAGCGAAAUAUUACUUUGGUUUAAUCAGAUACAAAAUUUAGUAAAGUACAAAUAUUAGAGUUGAUUUUGCUUGACCAAAGAAUGACGAUUGCUUAAAAAUGACAAUAUUUGUGCCAAAUUAAAAGGAAAAAUAAUCUACGGUAGUUCAAUUUUAAUAAAGUAUGAUAUAUAAGAUGUUUGAUGACUUAAAGUGUAUUUAUAAUUUGUAUGUAAGACAAGUGUACCUAUCUCAAUCCAUCAUACAAUAAAAGACGCAUUUUUCUGAUUUUUUCUUCAAUUGUUUAGAUUAUGUCACCGUUAUCACUCUAAAAUUUUAAAUUCCCAUAUUAGUUAGAAGUGAAAAAAGUGGACAAGGAAGUAACAUAGAUUUCUUCUAUUUUGAAAUAUUAAACUCGUACAGAACAUAAGGGAGUGCACUAGCUAUAUUAAAAAGAGUAAUAAUAGUAUACACUAUCGAUGUAAAAAGAUAGUUACACAAAACAUCACAAACUGUGAAGGAGUUCCAUAAUUCAUAUCACUAAAACAAGUAUUGUAUAGUGUUCUGAGGUAUGCUCAGACCAUUAAAAUAGAAGUAAUAAAAAACUGAAUCGCAUCAUGUUGUAUAACGACUCCAAAUUCACAUUAAUGGCUCAAGGGCUAGUAGCAGCGACGGCUGUGUCCUUGGGAAUCGUGGGAACGAAAGGCAAUGUUGGCUUGGGAAAAUCAGGAAGAUGAGUCACUUCGGGCACUACCGGCAAUUCCGGCUUUGGUAUUGUUGGAAAUUCGGGCUUUGGUAGCUCAGGAAGCGGCGGCAAUUCGACUUUCGGCAGUGACGGGAAUUCUGUCUUUGGCAAGCUAGGGAUGUCAGGAAGUUGAGGUAAUUCGGGCUUCGGCAAUUCCGGCACUUCUAAGGACUCCGGCUUCGGUGUUGCUGGAAAUUCAGGCUUUGGUAGUUCAGGAAGCGGUGGCAAUUCGACUUUCGGCAAUGAUGGGAAUUCUGGCUUUGGCAAGCUAGGGAUGUCAGGAAGGUGAGGCAAUUCAGGCUUCGGUAGUUCGGGCACUUCGGGCAAGGUCGCCUCCAAAAGUCGGCGGGCUCCAACUGGCUUCUCACCAAUCAUCAAAGACAGAGCGAGGACAAACAAUGCCAAAAGGUGCGCGAGUCCAUGAUGGUUCGUCAUUGGAGAAUCAAUCGACUAGCAAAUUCAAAAGCUUUGAGUGAAGAAGCGGCGAAUCUCGAGUGAGAGAAGGUGCAGGUGUGCUUGAGCAAUGGCUUGAUGGAGGGCUUAUAAGGAGGAGGGACGUGGAGGAUUGGGGAGAAUGCAAGUAUGGUUUGGUGGGAAUAUUAUCAAAGGGUUAGGUCAACUUCUAAACCAAUCUCAUUUUUGUACGUUCAACAGCAAGAUAGAGCAUAUUAUUCCAAAAGGAGCUUGCCAAUUCUUGGCUUUUCAGGCUUCUGACUACCUGUUGAGGUGAGAAAGAGGGAGAGAAAAGAAAAGAAAAGAAAUGGUUUAUGAUCUCACUAUGUACAACAGGACUGGAGUCUUGGAGUCUUAAAAUAUUGGAGAAGCCAAUAAUGUAAGAGCAAAAUAAUAAAUAUUGUCAGUGAUCAUUAUUCAUGGAAUCUUUACUUGAUGCAAGGAUUACUCAAGUUUUAAGCAUGUAUGUUUUCUUUUGAGGCCUUGGUUCAAAUCCCUACAAUUGUGCAUUAUUUUCGAUGAUCUUUGAGAACAUAGGCAUGUAUGAAUCCGAUUAUCUCUCUAAUUGUGUGGGAUAAAACUACUCUUGCUGGAAAAAACAAAACUUUAGGUGACAACUUUUUGGGGACAGACAUAAAAGGAGAUCCUUAAAUAGAGUUUCUAGUUAGGGGUGAGUAGUUCUAAGGAUGGUUUAGGUUUCAACUUUCUUGGAACUUGAAAUUUACCUUAUUAAGACCGGUUUCCCAGUUUUUGAAACUUAAAACCUAUCAUGUAUAUCUUAAAAUUUGUGACCUGCUCUAUCAAUCGAAUCCAAAGUCUAUUAAGGAACCGGCUGAUUUCUCUUUUCUUUUCUUUUUCUUUUUUUUUUCUUGUUUCAUUUUAGUCAGCAAUAGAGAGAACAUAACAACAAAAAUCAUCAUUUGUCAAUAACAAUGAUCUAUAAAAUAUUAGCACCUAAAAUAAAAUAAACAAUAAAAAGUUGAAAACGCAUAAUGUAGAAUCCAAAUUUCAUGCUCUCAAAGGAGUCAAGAACCAUGAUAAAAACCAAGGAUUCGAAUGAAGGAACCUUUUUUUUCAUUUGAGCCUCGUGUAAUACCGUUCAUGUCAUGCUCUAUUUUAGGAUUACCUUGGUUCUUGUUCUAGUUCUUUGAUUUUCAGUCUGAUUCGUCGAUUCUUAGUUCAAUUCUAUUCAAUUCUUAAGAAUCGCAUAGAACAAGUUCCAAAAAAUGUGAAACCGAAAUUUGGAGCAUGCCCUUUAGAACCUAGAGACAGGUCGAUUCCCAUGACCUGUUUGGUCUUUCUUGAUUAUACUUGGGAAAUUUGCUCACCCCCAACUUCUUGUUCCGUCCCUACGGAAAUAUUGAAUGAGCCGUCGUUAAUGGUAAUAGUGUAAAUGAUUUAGUUUGGUUCGGUUUUUUGGGAAAACGGAACCAAACCGAACCGAUAAAGAAAUUUAUUGAAUCAAACUGAAAUUCCAUCCAAAUCGAAACCGAAUCGUCAAUGACAAAGCAAGGACAAAUAAUGCCAAAAGAUGCGAGAGCCCGCAGUAGUUCGCCAUCGUAGAACCAAUAUACUAGCAAAUUGAAAAACUUCGAGUGAAGAAGUGGAGGAUGUCAAGUGUAAAGGUGCAGGUGUGUUCGAGCAAUGGCUUGAUGGAGGGUUUUUAAAGAGGGACAUGGGGAUUGGGGAGAUUGCAAGUAUGUUUUGGAGGGAAAAUUAUCGAAGUGUUCGUUGAACUUCCAAACCAAUCUCAAUCUCUUUUGUUCAACAACAAGAUGGAGCCGAUAAUUCCAAAAAGGAUCUUUAUAUUCUUGGCAUUUUUAAGCUUGUAACUGCGAGUUGUGUUGGACUUCCUAGCUAGGAGGGAAAGACAAAAGAAAGGAAAUGAUUUAUGAUCUCACUCUAUGUACAAGAGGACGAAGUCCAUAGCUUUGGUCAGAGAAGUCAACAAUGUUGAGAGUAAAAUCUAAGUUUUGCCAAUGAUAAUUAUACACGAAAAGUAUUCUUGAUGUAAGGAUUGCUUAAGUGGUAGGCAUAUUCCUUCUCUUUCUCUGAUAAUUUCAUAAACCUAUGUAUCUGGUAAUUUCUUGAUAUGCGUGGGACAAGGCGGCAGCCACUGUUAAGGCUACCAUUUUGGGCCUCAAUAGAGAAGCUUAUGGUCAAGUUGAGGGUAAGGCCACCACCUUCGGAGGGAGUUGGUGGCGUACAAGCCGACUUCGGAGGAGAUGCUAAUUGCUUCCUGAAAAAGUGAGGGUUUAAGAUCCAUGAAAUUGCGAAGUUAAGAAGGAGAAGACUAAGUGGUAAAGAGAUUGAAGAACUGCCACCCUCGGAUGAAACUAAUGAUCGAAUGAAACAAUUCAAUUGGGUAAGCGUAGGACUCUGAGUCGAGAGCACCAAAGACAUCAAUCAAUUGGAUGGGGGAGAAUAUCAUGGACCGGAGGUUCUCAAGGUGCAAUAGGCUGAGGCGGUGGCCAUGUGACCGGGGGUGCCUUAGAUUUAGAGAAGCCUUGUCAUUAAUGGAGGUAUGUGGUAAAUGAAGAGAUAUAUAACUUUUUGUAUAUCUCCACUUUUUUCAUCCUAGGAAAAAUAGGUAUUCAUUACUCUGGUCUUUAUGUGUAUUUAAUUCUCUCUUUUCCUCUUCCCCUCAAAAAGGGCGGUCCUAGGGGCGCAAUCAAUUCGGGAGAAAUUAGUUUUUCUUUUCUUUAUUUGAUCUUGACCUGCAGUUGGAUGAAUAUUUGGUUAUUAUCCUUCUAAAUAAUAUGCUGAAUAUUACUAUAUCUCAAUAAAUAUAAACGCUGAUUCACAAUGAAAAAAAAUAAGAAUUGGUGAUCAUCUAUUCCUUAUGUAUGGAUCAUCCUUCUUAUCAGUAUCUAGGAAAGCAAUUGUUUUUUUUUUCUGGCAGAUAAUUUUUUUAUUAAUUCAAAUUCAUAUAUAUAUAUAUAUAUAUAUAUAUAUAUAUAUAUAUAUAUUUUGAGCAAGUCAAAUUCAUAUCUGUUAAGUGACAGCAAAAGUUAACUAUACUUCAAACAGAAAUACAUCGAGCCAAACGAAAAAUUGGUGAGGGAUUCUUUAUUUAUAAGAAGUAGCAAAACUGAUUUAGAUCUUAUGUCCUGAAAUUAUCUUUUGUGAUCCGUCUCAUCUUAUAACAUAAUGUUCAAGCUCGCAAGGUUUUUCACAGUUCGGGUAUUGGUGUCCCCGUAGGCUUAUACAAGGUUUUUUUUUGUAAUAGUAAGCUUAUGGAAAUAUAUAUAUAUAUAUAUAUAUAUAUAUAUAUAUGUAACUAUAUUUGUACAAUAAGGAGAGAAAUUGACUUUUUCGCUUGAAAUAGAAAGUGUAACAGAAUAGACUAACAAUAUGCGAACUGGUCAAUAUCAUGAAAAACUAUAAACUGAUACAUUUGUGAUAAGUUUACUUCUAUCUAAUUAUUUGGCCACAAAAAACUCCAACCAAUACACUUAUGACAAAUUUACCUAAAAUUAAUAUUUUGACCAUGAAAACAUUUAAAUUGGUACACCUAAAAUAAAUUUACCAAAAACUAAUUUUUUGACCACUAAAAAUCUCAAAUUGAUAUACACCUAACAAAUUUACCCAAACUAGUUUUUUGACCACUAAAAAACCCCAAAGUGGUAUAUAUAAGGCAAAUUUCUUCUAUAUUAGCUUUUCUUAAACUGGAUUAACACCAUGACAAACCACAAACUAAAACAGACCGGGGGGGGGGGGUAAUAUCCCAAACUAAUAUUUUUUUCAACCAUCACGUAUCAUCUAACUUAGUAAUUUAAUAGUGAAAUUUAAAAUAAAAUAAUGGAUGGUAAAUUUGUUAUAAGUAUAUUAGUUAUGGUUUUAGUUUGGGAUAAAUUUAUCACAUGUGUACUAGUUUGGGGUUUUUAGUGAUAAAAAAAUUAGUUAAGGAUAAAUUUAUCAAAAGUGUAUCAGUUUAGUGUUUUUAAUGUACCCGUUUGGAGUUUCUAUUCUUGAGAAUAGGAAAAUAGAAAAAAAAAGAAAGAUCUAUCAAUAAAAUUGACUAUACCAUAUACAAUAUAUUAUGUGAUAGGGAACACGUAUAUAUUAAUUAACACUCGUCAAUACUUUAAUAUAUAGCGUAUAAUUACUUUGGUUCAAUCCAAUAUGAAUUGCAGUGAAUAAUUUUUUUUAUUUAUUACCUAAUUAAAGAAUGAUGAUUGGUUGGAAAACGACAACAUAGUCAUGUCAAUUUUAGAAAUAUAUAUAACUCAUGAUGAAUUCAUUUUAAGUAUACAUAUAAGACAAACGAACCUCCAUUGUUACGAACGGUUGAUAUAUUGAAAAAUCUCAAACUAGUACACAUGUGAUAAAUUUAUCUUAAACUAAUUUUUUGACCAUGAAAAACCCCAAAUUGGUACACCCGUGAUAAAUUUACCCCGACUGAUCAUAAAAAAAAAAAAAAUCUCAAAUUAGUACAUUUGUAAUAGAUUUAUCCCAAACUAAUUUAUUCGAUCGCCAAAAAACCCAAAUCGGUACAUUUGUGACAAAUAUACCCUCUAUUAAGUUAGAUUAAUAUCAUAAAAAAAUCACAAAAAUUGUAUGAUGGUAACAAAUGGAGAAUAAAAUCUCAAAUUGGUAUACCAGUAAAUUGCCGCAUGUCAUUCAAUUUAGUAAUUUGAUAGUAAAAUUUAACGGAAACAAAUAGAGAGUAAAUUUAUCACAAAUAUACUAGAUUUGGGUAUAUUUGUUAAAGGUAUACCGGUUUAGGAUUUUUGCUAAAAAAAUUAGUUUGUGGUAAAUUUGUUACGACUGUACCAGUUUGGGGUUUUUCAAGAUAUUAACCCAAUAAUGAAUGACGCAUUUUAUUUUUCUUGAUUUUUUCUUUGAUUAUUUGAAUUUCAUAAGUAUUGUCAUUACUAGAACUCAUAUAAAUUAAAUUUUCAUAUUAGUUAUAUGUGAAACAAGAUAAGGAGUUUCAGCAAACAUGAGUUUCAACAAAUUUGGAAAUAUAGAACUCAUGUGAAGCAUGCUCGAGUGCACUAGGUAUUUAAGAAAGAGUAAUUAUAGCAACUCCGUCGGAUGUAAUAGUUAAGUUACUCAAGAUAUCACAAAUUGUCCCACAAAUAAGUUUCAUAAUUGUCCCACAAAUAUGUUCCAUAAUUCAUAUAACACUAUCAUACAAAAUAUACUGUUCCGAGGCAUGCUCAGACCAUCAAAGUAGACGUAAUAAAAUAUUAAAUAACAGCAUGUUGCAUCACGACUCCAAAUUCACAUCACAACGGUUCAAGGAUUAGUAGCAGCCGCAGGCAUGUCCUUCGCAACGAAAGGCAAAGUUGGCUUAGGGAAAUCGGGGAGAUGAGGCAAUUCGGGCACUUCCGGCAAUUCCGGCUUCGGUAUUGUUGGUAAUUCAGGCUUUGGCAGUUCCGGAAGUGGCGGCAAUUCAACUUUUGGCAGUGAUGGCAAUUCUGGCUUUGGCAGGCUUGGGAUGUCGGGAAGGUGUGGCAAUCCGGGCUUCGGCAGUUCGGGCACCUCGGGCAACGUCUC